AGAUUUGCGGCGGCCAUGGCCCAGGUGAGACGCCCGGCUCCAUUCCGAACCCGGAAGCUAAGGCCUGGCACGGCGAUGGUACUGCACUCGAUAGGGUGUGGGAGAGUAGCGCGCCGCCGCAUCACGUGAUCGGACCCCGGUCGAGCCUUCGGGCUCCCGGGGUCCUUCCAU
rnacentral:rRNA from 1 species